rnacentral:rRNA from 1 species
GGGAUUAGAUACCCCACUAUGCUUAGCCUUAAACCUAGAUGUUACAUUUACAACCAACAUCCGCCAGGGUACUACAAGCGCUAGCUUAAAACCCAAAGGACUUGACGGUGUCUCAGACCCACCUAGAGGAGCCUGUUCUAGAACCGAUAAUCCCCGUUAAACCUCACCACCCCUUGUUUUUUCCGCCUAUAUACCGCCGUCGCAAGCUUACCCUGUGAAGGGCCCAUAGUAAGCAAGAUGGGUAAAUCCCAAAACGUCAGGUCGAGGUGUAGCUUACGAGGUGGGAAGAAAUGGGCUACAUUUUCUAUAUCAGAAUAAUACGAACAGCAUUAUGAAAUUAGUGCUCGAAGGUGGAUUUAGUAGUAAAAAACAAAUAGAGAGUCUUUUUGAACCAGGCUCUGAGACGCGCACACACCGCCC